CGAAUAGAGAACCAUCCGGGUGCCCCGAGAGGGGUUAAAAGGGAAGAGGGUGCAAAUCCCUCGCUGUCCCGCAACUGUGAACGGUUAUGAAAGCCGCAACUACGCCACUGACAAGAUCGGGAAGGCGCGGCGAGUAAGAUGACCCGUGAGUCAGGAAACCUGCCAGGAUGAAAGCUUGUCG
rnacentral:ncRNA from 2 species